rnacentral:rRNA from 1 species
CAGCCUCCGCGGGGAAUACGGAGGGGGCUAGCGUUGUUCGGAAUUACUGGGCGUAAAGCGCACGCAGGCGGCUCGAUAAAUUAGAAGUGAAAGCCUUGGGCUUAACCUGAGAAUUGCUUUUAAGACUGUCGAGCUAGAAUCCAGAAGAGGGUAGUGGAAUUCCGAGUGUAGAGGUGAAAUUCGUAGAUAUUCGGAAGGAACACCUGUGGCGAAAGCGGCUCACUGGACAAUAACUGACGCUGAUGCACGAAAGCUAGGGGAGCAAACAGGAUUAGAUACCCCAGUAGUCCCUGUCUCUUAU